UUGCUCUCCAGGUUGAACUCAUUCCGAGUGAAGCGAGACAGCAGGUUACUCUUUCCAACACCAGAGUCCCCAAUCAGCACCACUGCCACCAGAAAAGAACGGAAAUACGUUCUGCUCCUGCAAAAACUCGAGUUGGAUUUUGGCAGUGGUUGCUCGAGUUUCACUUUCCAGCAGGGCUUUCUUUUGAGAUUGCACAACAUCCUCUGCAGACAUGAUGGCUUCCUCCAGGGCUUUGGAAAGAGAAAGAACAGGAUGCUUACGAAGUAGAUGUCUGUGAUUGGCACGUCCUCGUCUUCGUCUAUGGAAGCCCUGCUGGGACACCCGGACGUCUGGCUGACCUGGUCGGACUCCACCAUCACCUUGGGACUGGCCGGGACGGGGGAGGCGGAGGCAGAGGCGGCAGCGGAGGUGGUGGCAGCAGCGGCAGCAGCAGAGGCAGAGGCCUCUGGCACCUCACUGAGAGAGAGAGAGAGAGAGAGACAGACAGACAGAGAGACAGAGAAAGAAAGAGAGAGAUAGACACACACACACACUGCAUCAGUGAGCUGUCAUCAGAACCGCUACGGGUAGCCACUCUGACCCAACCUCUCUCUCUCUCUCUCUCUCUCUCUCUCUCUCUCUCGUCUGUCUGCUCUCAGCAAGAACACUCCAGAUUGUGCAUAAGAAAUAGCUGGCCCUGGGCUGAGCCUCCCUGAAUGCAAACUAUUCGGCGUAAUUAUUCUGAGGUGGGAAGCGUCUGGCUGAGAGAGGGAAUAGAAAUGCAGCCAAAUUCAGUCUUGCAUUGAGUCCAGCGGAUUAAUUCCGCCACCUGUUUCUGGUGCGGGUGCUGAAAAUCCAACAGACUGAUGCAAAACAUGGAAGGGGAGGAUGUCUGCUUUUUGGAUAAAAUUGUGCCAAUGCUUCACCUGCUUAUUGUCAAAAGGGGAGAGUGAGUGUGGCACAGAUUUGGAUUUGUAGGGUAAAGGGUUUCAGACAGGCAAAACCCUCUUUAACAACCUGCCACUGUCUGGAAUAUGAUGAUGAUAAUCAUUAUUAUGACCAUAACUAAUCGCAUCCAAUCUGCUUGCUCAGUUUAUUCAGCUCAGCUCAUAUCAGAAAGUCUGUCUGUGCAAUCCUUCGCAAGGCCUUGUUGGCAAACUUCUGAUUGGCUGGGGCUGCUGGUGUGAAGGAAUUGCCAGGCAGAGUGUUGCU